rnacentral:snoRNA from 1 species
UGGAUGGAUGAUGACCACUGGUGGCGUAUGAGUCAGACAAUGAAUACAUGUCUGGAGCUCUGAGGUCCAA